GACGAACGCUGGCGGCGUGCCUAAUACAUGCAAGUCGAACGAACCGCGACUAGGUGCUUGCACUUGGUCAAGGUGAGUGGCGAACGGGUGAGUAACACGUGGGUAACCUACCUCAUAGUGGGGGAUAACAGUCGGAAACGACUGCUAAUACCGCAUAGGACAUAGGAUCACAUGAUUCUGUGAGGAAAGGUGGCGCAAGCUAUCGCUAAGAGAUGGACCCGCGGUGCAUUAGCUAGUUGGUAGGGUAAAGGCCUACCAAGGCGAUGAUGCAUAGCCGACCUGAGAGGGUGAUCGGCCACAUUGGGACUGAGACCCGGCCCAAACUCCUACGGGAGGCAGCAGUAGGGAAUCUUCCGCAAUGGACGCAAGUCUGACGGAGCAACGCCGCGUGAGUGAAGAAGGUCUUCGGAUCGUAAAGCUCUGUUGUUAGAGAAGAACAGCGCAUAGAGUAACUGUUAUGCGUGUGACGGUAUCUAACCAGAAAGCCACGGCUAACUACGU
rnacentral:rRNA from 1 species